GUGCCAGCAGCCGCGGUAAGACAGAGGAUGCAAGCGUUAUCCGGAAUGAUUGGGCGUAAAGCGUCUGUAGGUGGCUUUUCAAGUCCGCCGUCAAAUCCCAGGGCUCAACCCUGGACAGGCGGUGGAAACUACCAAGCAAGAGUAUAGUAGGGGCAGAGGCCUUUACUUCGGAGCGCCCGCUCACGCUUCAUUGACCUAUCGCGUGGUAAAGAGAAGAGAGUACGAAAGAAUUGUAAACAGAGCAGACCGCGGAAAGAUGGUUUAAUGAUUUUGUGGGAUCCUUGGAUGUAGCAGCUGGCGAACCGCUUCUUCUUCCACAAAGAUUCAGACAAAAUUGGGUUCAUUAUGCUCUUCUUCCUUAA
rnacentral:ncRNA from 1 species